rnacentral:rRNA from 1 species
CACGUAGGGUGCGAGCGUUAAUCGGAAUUACUGGGCGUAAAGCGUGCGCAGGCGGUUCGUUGUGUCGGUGGUGAAAGCCCCGGGCUUAACCUGGGAAUGGCCAUGGAAACUGGCGAACUGGAGUGUGGCAGAGGGGGGUGGAAUUCCGCGUGUAGCAGUGAAAUGCGUAGAGAUGCGGAGGAACACCGAUGGCGAAGGCAGCCCCCUGGGCUAGCACUGACGCUCAGGCACGAAAGCGUGGGGAGCAAACAGG